UACGGAGGGUGCAAGCGUUAUCCGGAUUUACUGGGUUUAAAGGGUGCGUAGGUGGGCGAGAAAGUCAGUGGUGAAAUCUCCGGGCUUAACCCGGAAACUGCCAUUGAUACUAUUUAUCUUGAAUACUUUGGAGGUAAGCGGAAUAUGUCAUGUAGCGGUGAAAUGCUUAGAUAUGACAUAGAACACCAAUUGCGAAGGCAGCUUACUACACAGUUAUUGACACUGAGGCACGAAAGCGUGGGGAUCAAACAGG
rnacentral:rRNA from 1 species